UCGGAUGACACUAGUGGGAGAGAUCUGGAAAACCCAGACGCCGAAGGAGAAAAUCCCUUGAAAUUGCUUUUCGAGGGAGGAAACUCUCAGGCAAAAGUACUGCUAGAAGACGGUACUCUGGAGAGUUUCUCUUACAUAGAGAACACCAAAGGGGAAGCCGGGAACGGCGAAUCUCUCAGGUUCAAGGACAGAGAA
rfam:Desulfosporosinus sp. OT TOT.assembly.257, whole genome shotgun sequence.